rnacentral:rRNA from 1 species
AGAUUGAACGCUGGCGGCAUGCCUUACACAUGCAAGUCGAACGGCAGCACGGGAGCAAUCCUGGUGGCGAGUGGCGAACGGGUGAGUAAUACAUCGGAACGUGCCCAAUCGUGGGGGAUAACGCAGCGAAAGCUGUGCUAAUACCGCAUAAGAUCUACGGAUGAAAGCGAGGGGAUCGCAAGACCUUGCGCGAAUGGAGCGGCGAUGGCAGAUUAGCUAGUUGGUGAGGUAAAGGCUCGACCAAGGCGACGAUCUGUAGCUGGUUGAGAGGACGACAGCCACACGUGGGACUGAACGACACCGGCCAGACCUCCGUACGGGAG